rnacentral:rRNA from 1 species
GCAAGUGUGGGGGGGGAGCGGGUGGAAGACGUAGGGGGAAAGGUUUGUCCGGAGUUAGGGGGCGGAAAGCGCGCGCAGGCGGCCUCUUAAGUCUGAUGGGAAAGCCCCCGGCUCAACCGGGGAGGGCCAUUGGAAACUGGGAGGCUUGAGUAUAGGAGAGAAGAGUGGAAUUCCACGUGUAGCGGUGAAAUGCGUAGAGAUGUGGAGGAACACCAGUGGCGAAGGCGACUCUUUGGCCUAUAACUGACGCUGAGGCGCGAAAGCGUGGGGAGCAAACAGGAUUAGAUACCCCGGUAGUCC